GAGCAUGAAUGCACAUCAUUCGUUUGGGCAUGCUUAUGUGGAAAGAAUAGUGUUUUCAUGUUUCCAUGUGAAUGCAAUCUUCAAACUGACCUUUGAGUGGAAUUUCUGUGCUCCCCUCCUCCUCUCGAUCUUUACUGCAUGGCUGCAUUUAGAAACAGCUUACAAAGAUUUGUGACAGGACAAGUGAGCAGGACAUGGCUGUAUUGAUCAAAUGUCCAGAUGGCUCUCUUGUCCCAGCCUCCGGCCCUGGCCUCAGCUGAUCUCCAGCUCCAGAUGAUCACAAACCAACUGGUAAAAACCAAGAGUAAUUUAGGUUAAGAAACAUGCUACCUCUCCGAAUCCAGAAACUGAACUGUUUGGAGAAGACACUAUGAAGAUGCCUCCACAGACCACAAUCUGCAUGAGAAAGAACAAGAAUGAGCUUUGGGUGUGAGGUUUGAAUGCAUUUGUUUUGUAUGUAUACUCCUAUGCUAAAGGGGACUGCCCCCUAACUGGCUUUUUGUCAAUGCGCCUAGCAAUAAUUGAUUUUGUUAUCUUUUCCUCAUGCUAAAAUUGUUGUCAUUUCAAAAUUGGUAUGUUACAAGCCCCAGCGGAGAGACUAGUCUUCCGCCUCAGGGGGGUAAUGUAAAAUGGAGAUUUGAACCCCAGACUUCAAUCCCCAGAAGUCCUUGGUACUUCCCAGAAUUCCCUAUAAUCUUACCUGAGUCCCUACCUGGGCGAGAUCACAAUUUGUAUUUAAACUGCUUGUAACACCUACUUCGGCUUCUCUCUCUUCUUCUACUUGGACAUGGCAAGAUGUAGUGAGUAAGAUGUGAAUGGGCUAGUGAAUGGAUUAGAAUGGGUUUAUUAUCAUGUAUCUGUGAUUUCUAAUAAUCUUUAAUAAACCUCUUAAAAUAUCAUAUUUUUAUCA